rnacentral:rRNA from 1 species
CUACGGAGGGUGCAAGCGUUACUCGGAAUUACUGGGCGUAAAGCGUACGUAGGCGGUUCGUUAAGUUAGAUGUGAAAGCCCCGGGCUUAACCUGGGAACUGCAUUUAAAACUGGCGAACUAGAGUUGAGUAGAGGGGAGUGGAAUUUCAGGUGUAGCGGUGAAAUGCGUAGAGAUCUGAAGGAACACCAGUGGCGAAGGCGACUCCCUGGACUCGAACUGACGCUGAGGUGCGAAAGCGUGGGUAGCGAACGGGAUUAGAAACCCUAGUAGUCC